rnacentral:rRNA from 1 species
GCCAGACUCCUACGGGAGGCAGCAGUGAGGAAUAUUGGUCAAUGGCCGAGAGGCUGAACCAGCCAAGUCGCGUGAGGGAAGACGGCCCUACGGGUUGUAAACCUCUUUUGUCGGGGAGCAAAGCGAGUCACGUGUGACUCAUUGAGAGUACCCGAAGAAAAAGCAUCGGCUAACUCCGUGCCAGCAGCCGCGGUAAUACGGAGGAUGCGAGCGUUAUCCGGAUUUAUUGGGUUUAAAGGGUGCGCAGGCGGAAUGUCAAGUCAGCGGUAAAAUUUCGGGGCUCAACCCCGUCGUGCCGUUGAAACUGGCGUUCGUGAGUGAGCGAGAAGUAUGCGGAAUGCGUGGUGUAGCGGUGAAAUGCAUAGAUAUCACGCAGAACUCCGAUUGCGAAGGCAGCAUACCGGCGCUCAACUGACGCUCAUGCACGAAAGCGUGGGUAUCGAACAGGAUUAGAUACCCUAGUACAC